rfam:Alligator mississippiensis ScZkoYb_6524, whole genome shotgun sequence.
CCUCCUUUUCUUGGCAGGCCCGGGCGGCGCAGUGCCCGGCUCUGUGAUGCUCUGGAGGCAGAGGAACGGCGCCGCCGCCGCCCGGUGCGAUGUCUUCGGUGCCAGCGGCUCCGCCGUGCGCUGGUUCUAUCCUCAAGCACCGGGACACCC